rnacentral:rRNA from 1 species
UGAGGAAUCUUGCGCAAUGGGGGCAACCCUGACGCAGCCACGCCGCGUGCUGGAAGACGGCCCUAUGGGUUGUAAACAGCUUUUACUGGGGAAGAACCUGGAGGUUUCGAUCUCCACUGACGGUACCCAGUGAAUAAGCACCGGCUAACUCCGUGCCAGCAGCCGCGGUAAUACGGAGGGUGCAAGCGUUGUCCGGAAUCAUUGGGUGUAAAGGGUGUGCAGGCGGAAGUCUAAGUCGGAGGUGAAAUCUUGCCGCUUAACGGUAAAAGGGCCUUCGAAACUGGAUUUCUUGAGUUCGGAAGAGGUUGGUGGAAUUCGUGGUGUAGCGGUGAAAUGCAUAGAUAUCACGAAGAACACCGGUGGCGAAGGCGGCCAACUGGUCCGAUACUGACGCUGAGACACGAGAGCGUGGGGAGCGAACA